rnacentral:rRNA from 1 species
GACGAACGCUGGCGGCGUGCUUAACACAUGCAAGUCGAACGGAAAGGCCCUGCUUUUGUGGGGUGCUCGAGUGGCGAACGGGUGAGUAACACGUGAGUAACCUGCCCUUGACUUUGGGAUAACUUCAGGAAACUGGGGCUAAUACCGGAUAGGAGCUCCUGCUGCAUGGUGGGGGUUGGAAAGUUUCGGCGGUUGGGGAUGGACUCGCGGCUUAUCAGCUUGUUGGUGGGGUAGUGGCUUACCAAGGCUUUGACGGGUAGCCGGCCUGAGAGGGUGACCGGCCACAUUGGGACUGAGAUACGGCCCAGACUCCUACGGGAGACAGCAGUGGGGAAUAUUGCACAAUGGGCGGAAGCCUGAUGCAGCAACGCCGCGUGCGGGAUGACGGCCUUCGGGUUGUAAACCGCAUUCGCCUGUGACGAAGCGUGAGUGACGGUAAUGGGUAAAGAAGCACCGGCUAACUACGUG